rnacentral:rRNA from 1 species
UACGAAGGGGGCUAGCGUUGCUCGGAAUCACUGGGCGUAAAGCGCACGUAGGCGGCUUGUUAAGUCAGGGGUGAAAUCCUGGAGCUCAACUCCAGAACUGCCUUUGAUACUGGCGAGCUUGAGUUCGGGAGAGGUGAGUGGAACUGCGAGUGUAGAGGUGAAAUUGUAGAUAUUCGCAAAGAACACCAGUGGCGAAGGCGGCUCACUGGCCCGAUACUGAC